rnacentral:rRNA from 1 species
AUACGGAGGGUGCAAACGUUGCUCGGAAUCAUUGGGCGUAAAGCGCACGUAGGCGGACCGCUAAGUCGGAUGUGAAAGCCCUCGGCUUAACCGAGGAAGUGCAUUCGAAACUGACAGUCUUGAGUAUGGAAGAGGGUCGCGGAAUUCCCGGUGUAGAGGUGAAAUUCGUAGAUAUCGGGAGGAACACCAGUGGCGAAGGCGGCGACCUGGGCCAAUACUGACGCUGAGGUGCGAAAGCGUGGGGAGCAAACAGGA